UACAGAGGUCUCAAGCGUUGUUCGGAAUCACUGGGCGUAAAGCGUGCGUAGGCUGUUUCGUAAGUCGUGUGUGAAAGGCGCGGGCUCAACCCGCGGACGGCACAUGAUACUGCGAGACUAGAGUAAUGGAGGGGGAACCGGAAUUCUCGGUGUAGCAGUGAAAUGCGUAGAUAUCGAGAGGAACACUCGUGGCGAAGGCGACUUACUGGACUGUAACUGACGCUGAGGCAUGGGAGCAUGGGGAGCAAACAGG
rnacentral:rRNA from 1 species